GACGAACGCUGGCGGCGUGCUUAACACAUGCAAGUCGAACGAAGAGCGAUGGAAGCUUGCUUCUAUCAAUCUUAGUGGCGAACGGGUGAGUAACGCGUAAUCAACCUGCCCUUCAGAGGGGGACAACAGUUGGAAACGACUGCUAAUACCGCAUACGAUCUAAUCUCGGCAUCGAGGAUAGAUGAAAGGUGGCCUCUACAUGUAAGCUAUCACUGAAGGAGGGGAUUGCGUCUGAUUAGCUAGUUGGAGGGGUAACGGCCCACCAAGGCGAUGAUCAGUAGCCGGUCUGAGAGGAUGAACGGCCACAUUGGGACUGAGACACGGCCCAGACCCCUACGGGAGGCAGCAGUGGGGAAUCUUCCGCAAUGGACGAAAGUCUGACGGAGCAACGCCGCGUGAGUGAUGACGGCCUUCGGGUUGUAAAGCUCUGUUAAUCGGGACGAAAGGCCUUCUUGCGAAUAGUGAGAAGGAUUGACGGUACCGGAAUAGAAAGCCACGGCUAACUACGUG
rnacentral:rRNA from 1 species